rnacentral:lncRNA from 1 species
AUAAGCCAUCACCAAACUCAGAAAAUGAACAAAAUUCUGUUACCCUGGAAGUCCUGCUUGUGAAAGUUUGCCACAAAAAAAGAAAGGAUGUAUGUUGUCCAAUAAGGCAAGUUCCCACAGGUAAAAAGCAGGUGCCUUUGAAUCCUGACCUCAAUCAAACAAAACCUGGAAAUUUCCCGUCCCUUGCAGUUUCCAGUAAUGAAUUUGAACCUAGUAACAGCCACAUGGUGAAGUCUUACUCGUUGCUAUUUAGAGUGACUCGUCCAAGAAGAAGAGAGUUUAAUGGAAUGAUUAAUGGAGAAACCAUGAAAAUAUUGAUGUCAGUGAAGAGCUUCCAGCCAGAAGAAAAUGAAAUCGUGAGGAUGGGGAAAAGACAUUUGUUGCACAAAUGACAGUAUUUGAUAAAAACAGUUUCAUCCUUGUUGCCCAGGCUGGAGUGCAAUGGCGCGAUCUCAGCUCACUGCAACCUCUGCCUCCCUGGUUCAAGCGAUUCUCCUGCCUCAGCCUCCUGAAUGUCAGUACUUUGUGUGCUCUUGAAAUAGGAAAUGUACAGAUCCCUAUUGCCAGACACAUCAUUCUCUCCAUCCAGAAAGCCAACUUUGCAAGGACAAAAAAAAAAAUUAGUGUGAAACAAAAUGUGGCUUUUCCAAAGACAGAUGUGAUUAUUUAUAGUCAAUGUGGCCUCAAAAUGUCAUUGAUUGUGAAAUAGCAAACAUGCAGGAUCAUAAUAUUUGGGUAGGUUUCUGAAGUUAUUUCAUAUCUGAGCAGUCUAAAGAAGUAUGGGG